rnacentral:rRNA from 1 species
UACGAAGGGUGCAAACGUUGCUCGGAAUCAUUGGGCGUAAAGCGCGCGUAGGCGGCCCUGUAAGUCCGUUGUGAAAGUCAAAGGCUCAACCUUUGAAAGCCGAUGGAUACUGCAGGGCUAGAGUCCGGAAGAGGCGAGUGGAAUUCCUGGUGUAGCGGUGGAAUGCGCAGAUAUCAGGAGGAACACCAAUAGCGAAGGCAGCUCGCUGGGACGGUACUGACGCUAAGGCGCGAAAGCGUGGGGAGCGAACAGG